rnacentral:rRNA from 1 species
UGCAAGUCACGGGGGCCCGCAAGGGUAACCGGCGAACGGGUGCGUAACACGUGAGCAACCUGCCUUUGUGUGGGGGAUAGCCGGGCUAACGCCCGGGUAAUACCGCAUACGGUCACUGAGAGGAGUCUCUUGGUGAAGAAACCUCCGGGGCACAAAGAGGGGCUCGCGGCCUAUCAGCUAGUUGGGGGGGUAAUGGCCCACCAAGGCGACGACGGGUAGCUGGUCUGAGAGGAUGGCCAGCCACAUUGGGACUGAGAGACGGCCCAGACUCCUACGGGAGGCAGCAGUGGGGAAUCUUGCGCAAUGGCCGAAAGGCUGACGCAGCGACGCCGCGUGUAGGAGGACGCCUUUCGGGGUGUAAACUACUGUUGCCCGGGACGAACAGCCCUUUUCGAGGGGUCUGACGGUACCGGGUGAGGAAGCACCGGCUAACUCCGUGCCAGCAGCCGCGGUAAUACGGAGGGUGCGAGCGUUGUCCGGAAUCAUUGGGCGUAAAGGGCGCGUAGGUGGCGGGAUAAGCGUGCGGUGAAAGCUCGGGGCUCAACCCCGAGUCGGCCGUGCGAACUAUUUUGCUUGAGCACUGUAGAGGCAGGCGGAAUCCCGGGUGUAGCGGUGGAAUGCGUAGAGAUCCGGAAGAACACCGGUGGCGAAGGCGGCCUGCUGGGCAGUAGCUGACAAUGAGGCGCGACAGCGUGGGGAGCAAAC